AUUGAACGCUGGCGGCAGGCCUAACACAUGCAAGUCGAGCGGAUGAGGGGAGCUUGCUCCUGGAUUCAGCGGCGGAUGGGUGAGUAAUGCCUAGGAAUCUGCCUGGUAGUGGGGGAUAACGUCCGGAAACGGGCGCUAAUACCGCAUACGUCCUGAGGGAGAAAGUGGGGGAUCUUCGGACCUCACGCUAUCAGAUGAGCCUAGGUCGGAUUAGCUAGUUGGUGGGGUAAAGGCCUACCAAGGCGACGAUCCGUAACUGGUCUGAGAGGAUGAUCAGUCACACUGGAACUGAGACACGGUCCAGACUCCUACGGGAGGCAGCAGUGGGGAAUAUUGGACAAUGGGCGAAAGCCUGAUCCAGCCAUGCCGCGUGUGUGAAGAAGGUCUUCGGAUUGUAAAGCACUUUAAGUUGGGAGGAAGGGCAGUAAGUUAAUACCUUGCUGUUUUGACGUUACCAACAGAAUAAGCACCGGCUAACUUCGUG
rnacentral:rRNA from 1 species